UACGUAGGGUGCAAGCGUUAUCGGAAUUAUUGGGCGUAAAGCGUGCGCAGGCGGUUCUAUAAGACAGAUGUGAAAUCCCCGGGCUACAACCUGGGAACUGCAUUUGUGACUGUAGAGCUGGAGUACGGCAGAGGGGAUGGAAUUCCGCGUGUAGCAUGAAGCGUAGAUAUGCGGAGGAACACCGAUGGCGGAGGCAAUCCCCGUGGGCCUGUACUGACGCUCAUGCACGAAAGCGUGGGGAGCAAACAGG
rnacentral:rRNA from 1 species